CGCGUAGGCGGUUUGAUAAGUCAGAUGUGAAAGCCCACGGCUUAACUGUGGAAGUGCAUUUGAAACUGUCAGACUUGAGUAUCAGAGGGGAAAGUGGAAUUCCCGGUGUAGAGGUGAAAUUCGUAGAUAUCGGGAGGAAUACCGGUGGGCGAAGGCGACUUUCUGGCUGAAUACUGACGCUGAGGCGCGAAAGCGUGGGGAGCAAACA
rnacentral:rRNA from 1 species